UGACAGAAGCCUAGAACAACAUACCGUGA
rnacentral:piRNA from 1 species